rnacentral:tRNA from 1 species
GUCUUCGUAGUGUAAUGGUCAGCACACUCGGCGCGUAUUCGAGAUGUUCGAGGUUCGAGUCCCGGCGAGGGCU